CCUACGGGUGGCAGCAGUGAGGAAUAUUGGUCAAUGGCCGGAAGGCUGAACCAGCCAAGCCGCGUAAGGGAGGAAGGCGCAGAGCGUCGCAGACCUCUUUUGCCGGGGGACAAAAGGCCGGACUCGUCCGGUCCUGAGGGUACCCGGCGAAAAAGCAUCGGCUAACUCCGUGCCAGCAGCCGCGGUAAUACGGAGGAUGCGAGCGUUAUCCGGAUUCAUUGGGUUUAAAGGGUGCGCAGGCGGGCCUUUAAGUCAGCGGUGAAAGUCUGUGGCUCAACCAUAGAAUUGCCGUUGAAACUGGGAGGCUUGAGUAUGUUUGAGGCAGGUGGAAUGCGUGGUGUAGCGGUGAAAUGCUUAGAUAUCACGCAGAACUCCGAUUGCGAAGGCAGCUUACUAAACUAUAACUGACACUGAAGCACGAAAGCGUGGGGAUCAAACAGGAUUAGAUACCCCAGUAGUC
rnacentral:rRNA from 1 species